CUCUGCAAUAGUUGUUCACUCUGCAAUAGUUGUUCACUCUGCAAUAGUUGUUCACUCUGCAAUAGUUGUUCACUCUGCAAUAGUUCAUUGUUGGCCAUCUAGAAUCCCAACAUGAACAGAAAACUGCAAUCAGUCACAAUCAGUCACUCCCACAGUAUUGGACCUCCUCACUGUCACUCACUACACCUGAGCCAAUCACCUGCAGUCUCUCUCCCACCUGGAAUCCACCCAUUCCUUUGUUUGAAGCACAUCCAGAUUCACUCAGUCACUUGAACAGCAGGUUCACCCCACAUUCACUCAUCUCUGGAAACACAUUCACUUUCACUGCCUGGAAUCUUGGAAAUCACAGCAUCAAAGAAAGCCUUCAGCUCCACAACCAGCUCUUGGACUUCUGGAUGCCACCAACAUAAACCAAACAUUUUGCUGAACAGGUGAGGCUCCUAUGGAUGAUUGAACUGAUGGUGAGUCCCUGGAAAGAAGUGGAAGAGUCUGAAAAGAUUCACCCCUUCACCCCCCACUCAUUGGCAGGCCUCAAGCCUCACAGCUUCAUCCCUUCCCCAGUGGUGUGGUUUUUGGCUGGGCGGAGCUUCAACUCUUGUCAUCACAUUACCUGUGUUCACCUGGAGGGAGUCCUGAGUUUAUUUAAGCCUCAUGUUGACCUGCCGGACGUCUUACUUCCACCUCAGACUUGCAUCUUCUGCUCUUUUGUGUUGAUUUCCUUUACUUUGCACUGAAAUAAUGCAACAAAAAUCAUGUGCUACCUUUGAUUCUGACUCACACAGCUCAGUUCGUGCUUUAUUGAAAUGAAUUUCAGCAGUUUGCAGCACAUCUCUUGGUAUUUUUUCCUUCUUUCAUGCAGCCUGGACUGGAUUUAGAUUCAAUAAAAUGUCACGUCUUGCAAAGAA